GAUGAACGCUGACAGAAUGCUUAACACAUGCAAGUCUUUGGCGAAGCUGUGCUUGCACAGCCUAGCCAAGGCGGACGGGUGAGUAACGCGUAAGGAACUUGCCCUGCAGUCAGGGAUAACAGACGGAAACGACUGAUAAGACCUGGUAAAGUCAGGCGGACUCAUGUCCAGCCUGAUGAAAAGAGAUGCUGCAGGAGAGCCUUGCGUCCUAUUAGCUUGUUGGUGGGGUAACGGCCCACCAAGGCGAUGAUAGGUAGCCGGCCUGAGGGGGUGGACGGCCACAAGGGGACUGAGAUACGGCCCUUACUCCUACGGGAGGCAGCAGUGGGGAAUAUUGGACAAUGGGGGCAACCCUGAUCCAGCAAUUCUGUGUGCACGAUGAAGGUUUUCGGAUUGUAAAGUGCUUUCAGCAGGGAAGAAAAAAAUGACGGUACCUGCAGAAGAAGCGACGGCUAAAUACGUGCCAGCAGCCGCGGUAAUACGUAUGUCGCAAGCGUUAUCCGGAAUUAUUGGGCAUAAAGGGCAUCUAGGCGGCCAGAUAAGUCUGGGGUGAAAACUUGCGGCUCAACCGCAAGCCUGCCCUGGAAACUAUGUGGCUAGAGUACUGGAGAGGUGGACGGAACUGCACGAGUAGAGGUGAAAUUCGUAGAUAUGUGCAGGAAUGCCGAUGAUGAAGAUAGUUCACUGGACGGUAACUGACGCUGAAGUGCGAAAGCUAGGGGAGCAAACAGG
rnacentral:rRNA from 1 species